UGGGGUUUCGUUGUCAUCAUACCUUCCUGUUUAAUGUAAACCGUUUUUCGUAAGAGAGAGAGCGGUUCACUCUUCUGUGAUCUCAGGGACCUGGUAUCUCAUAAGCAGGCACAUCCGGACUAGGCAUGGCUUCACACAUGCAGAACGACAGCUCAGCCGGCUUUCUACAUGAGUUCAAGUCAUUCGCCACAGAUGCGAUCCAUGUUGGUUCGGAACCGGAGCAAUGGAACUCUAUGGCCGUAGUGCCUCCAAUUUCAUUGUCGACCACUUUUAAACAACAUAGUCCCGGAAAACAUGCGGGUUUCGAGUACAGCAGGAGUGGAAAUCCCACACGAAACUGUCUUGAAAGAGCGGUUGCUGCUUUGGAUGGUGCACAAUACUGCCUUGCUGUUGCCUCUGGGUUGGCUGCUUCUUUGACCAUCACACAUCUUUUUAAGACUGGAGAUGGAAUUCUGUCAAUGAAUGAUGUUUAUGGAGGAACGAACCGCUAUUUCAGAAAAAUAGCUGCAGAAGUUGGUCUUGAUAUCUCUUUUGCUGACCUCACAAAGCUUGAGGUGCUAAAGGCAGCACUAAAACCAAAUACAAAGAUGGUUUGGAUUGAAACUCCCACAAACCCUACUAUGAAGGUAGUGGACAUUCAGGCCUGUGCAGACAUUGUCCAUGAGCACAACAAGGACACAAUAGUUGUUGUGGACAACACUUUCAUGUCGGCCUACUUCCAGCGCCCCCUGGCUCUUGGAGCGGACAUCUGCAUGUACUCCGCAACAAAAUACAUGAAUGGUCACAGCGAUGUUGUCAUGGGGCUGAUUUCUGUCAACCGUGAAGACCUCUAUGAACGACUGACAUUUUUGCAGAAUGCCCUUGGAGCUGUGCCAUCUCCAUUUGACUGCUAUAUGUGCAAUCGAGGUCUGAAGACACUUCACUUAAGAAUGAAGCAGCACUUUAAGAAUGCACUGGCUGCGGCACAGUUUCUGGAGGCCGACCCACGGGUGGACAAAGUCAUCUUCCCAGGUCUUCCAUCACACCCUCAACAUGAGCUAACAAAGAGACAGUGCACAGGCUGUCCUGGGAUGAUCAGCUUCUACAUCAAAGGAAAACUUGAGCACGCCACAGCUUUCCUUAGCAAUCUAAAGUUGUUUGCACUUGCUGAAAGUCUAGGUGGUUACGAGAGUCUAGCUGAGCACCCAGCAAUAAUGACUCAUGCUUCAGUGAGUGAGAAUGAAAGGAAGGAGCUGGGCAUCAGUGAUACACUUAUUCGUCUGUCUGUGGGCCUGGAGGAUGAGGAGGAUAUUAUUGCUGAUCUUGAACAAGCUCUCAGUGCUGCUGAAGGCCAAAUAAGUGCCCCACUUCUUGCCGUAAGCACCCAAACUGCCCAGCCGUCUAUGCGGCAUCUUUUCAAAAGCUGCCACUCUGCCCAGCUCGGUGCAUUACUCAUGAAAUGAGGGCACACCAGCCGACUUCCAUCCCCCAAGAAUCACCUUCCUGCCGAUCAUCACGCUGCAUCCAAAGAAAUAAGAGUCAAAUCAAGAUAGUCCAGGACAACAGUGAUCCCACAUCUGAAUGAGACCAGGACACCUUUUUUGGCACAUUAUUAAUGUACUUAAAGUAUAUGACAAUUAUGCUUGGGGGGGGCAUUGAUUGAUUUUGUCAGAAAACAAAUAUGCUCAAACUAUUUUAUGAAUCAGCUCAUUUGCCAUGUUUUCAUUCAAAAUACUGGAGAUACUCAGAAAAUACUCAGAUACUCUUUUGCUGCUUUUGCAUUUGUUUUUUUUGUUGUUUUAAUUAUUGCUUGGUGAGGCUGUGGGAUGUUAACCAAGAGAGGCUCAACAAUUAUUACAUUUUAAAUAUAGGAAAAUGUUGGGACUGUAAGGGAAUUCAGGCAUCAUGCAAAUAAUUAUUUUUAUUUUAUUCUUUAUAUUAAGAGAGGAAUCAACAUAUGGUUGAUUCUAAAAAUGGUGCAACAAUAGAUACCUUCAUCAAACAAUGCACAAUAAGUCUUUUUAAAACAAAGAAAAUGCACAGUCACCAUUAGUCAACAUUAAAAUCACAUCUAUUGUUUACAAUUUAAAUUGAUCUUGGCUAGACACUUUUCAAUUGUGAAAGGGUCAUAUUGAAUCUUUGUCUGUGCUACCAGAUUCAUUAAAAGCAAUUUGUAGUCUCUUC